rnacentral:rRNA from 1 species
GACGAACGCUGGCGGCGUGCCUAAUACAUGCAAGUCGAACUAGAGCGCCCGGUGCUUGUACUGUUCAAUCUAGUGGCGAACGGGUGAGUAACACGUGGGUAAUCUGCCCAUCAGAGGGGGAUAAUAUUCGGAAACGGAUGCUAAAACCGCAUAGGUCUUUGAACCGUAUGGUUUGAUGAGGAAAAGCGGCGCAAGCUUCUGCUGAUGGAGGUACCCGCGGUGCAGUAGCUGGUUGGUGAGGUAACGGCUCACCAAGGCCGGGAUGCAUAGCCGACCUGGGGGGAGGAUAGGCCACAUGGGAAGUAGGACACGGCCCAAACGCCUACGGGAGGCAGCAGUAGGGAAUCUUCCGCAAUGGACGCAAGUCUGACGGAGCAACGCCGCGGGAGUGAAGAAGGUUUUCGGAUCGUAAAGCUCUGUUGUUGGAGAAGAAUAAGUGCUGGAGUAACUGUUAGCGCCUUGACGGUAUCUAACCAGAAAGCCACGGCUAACUACGUG